CUACAGUAGGAAAUGGGUAUUUAAAAACUAGUCAGCAGCUGCAAGAUACAACUGCCUCAUGCCUGGAAACAAUUAUAGCAAUUUUAUUUGGUGGAGAAUAUCACUUACAUAAACUUUGCAGCAAAGAUUUCAAUGUGCCUGGAUUUCAAUAUUAAGUAUGUAUAAACAGAUGUAAAUAUCCAGGCUUAAAUUAAAAUUAAGUGCUGCCAACAGAACCAAUGUACGUGGCAUAUUGUCCACAAAACAAAACAACUAUGCAAGAAUUUAAAAAUAAACAUUGGGCUAGUCAAACUGUUGUAGGAUUACUCUAUUUAGUGAAUAUUUUUAUUAGAAUAAGUGUCAAUGUUACUGUUAUGUGUAGAUACUUUCUUUUUUUCACAAUAUUGUUAAUCCUUGUGUUCAUCUUUGUUAAUCCUUGUGGUCAUCAUUGAUGCAUAUGGUCUUGAAGAAGAACACUGGCCAUUUUGCAAGAGUUGUAAUUGCUCUUCCAAGUUGGAAACAAUAUCUGUUAGGCAUGGCAUUACU